GCUUAUGGCCAUACCACCCUGUCUGUGCCUGAUCUCGGAAGCUAAGCAGAGUCAGGCCUGAUUAGUACUUGGAUGGGAGACCGCCUGGGAAUACC
rnacentral:rRNA from 1 species